rnacentral:rRNA from 1 species
UACGUAGGGGGCAAGCGUUGUCCGGAAUUAUUGGGCGUAAAGAGCUCGUAGGCGGUGUGUCGCGUCGGCCGUGAAAACCUGGGGCUUAACUCUGGGCUUGCGGUCGAUACGGGCAUCACUGGAGUUCGGCAGGGGAGACUGGAAUUCCUGGUGUAGCGGUGAAAUGCGCAGAUAUCAGGAGGAACACCGGUGGCGAAGGCGGGUCUCUGGGCCGAUACUGACGCUGAGGAGCGAAAGCGUGGGGAGCGAACAGG